CCGAAGCUUUUACGGCAAACGUUCGAGAGGGUCUCGAGCAAGCGGCCCGCACCGAAUGUGGCCCGCGGGCCCUUGGGCGUUUAUGGCGUAUAUGGAGGCCAGCUGGAGUAUGAACUCCAUAAUGUAAAAGCCUGAGUCUGGGCACACAGAGGGACGACACGGACACACGACUGAGAAUUUACGGACACUGCACAACCUUGGGCAUUCUUGCACGAAACACUUCUCGGCACAGUCCUCAACGCUCGCCUUCGUCAAGCAUUUCCUUCCUGAACUGAGAAAUUUAUUGGUGGCAGCAGGAACUGACUUGCACAAACGCUCUGAGAGAUGUCCUAAUAUUUCGUGUUAUCGGGUUCAAUGCAAACCAGGGGGCCAAAAAGCAGGUCUUACAGAGUUCAACCCAAAUACGCACAGACGCUGCAAUAAAACCAAGAACUCACCGGAUGUGAAAAAGUCAUCUGCCAACACAGCUUCUACGUUUGGCCUUCGUUCCGGUUCCAGUUGCAACAUCUUUUGAAUCAGUGUCCGUGCAGUGGGUCCAACGGAGGACGGAAUGCGAUACUCGUUCUUCUUGAUGCGGAUAUAGGUCUCUUUUAGGGAGGAUGUCUCAAAGGGAGGACGUCCCACCAGGAGUGUGUACCUUGAACGUUGCACAAAUUUUAGCCAAAUGCUCCAGUGCAGGGGUUCUCAAACUGGGUUCUCCGGCCAGGUAUCCAGCAUUAUGGAACGCGCCUAACAGUAACCAUGCGACGCUCCUUCGUAUAUACACCACAACGUGUGGGACUGCGAUGAGGAGGUUAUAUCAGCUUUGUUUACACCUUGAAGAUUACAUUAUGAAUUCGUGCUUCAUGGAAAGAACCCACAAAGCAUUGUUCGCAGUGAGGUUUGGGAGAGUGGCGCAGUCCUGCUAAUUUGCACUUCCGGAUAAUUUGAACUGAUGCUCAGGUCCCAUCAAAUUAAUGUAUCUGUAUUGAAAUAGGUGAGAACACCCAUGCAACUGAUAUGCGCUAUCAGGCCCCCAUUCAGAGUGACUCCCUUUAGUUUGAACGCAGCUUGAUUUUAACAAACAUGUCCGAAUUAACAGGGUUGCACUGUAGUUGUUUGAACACAUGCAGAACCUAUGUUCCUUGUUAUGCCAACAUACAUAUAUGGGUACCUUGGGAUCACAAAGUUUGAGAACCCCUGAUCCAGUGUGCACUUUUUUUCGUAACGUGUACGUACAAUAUGCAUCCGAUAGACCAAAUGUCCACUUCGAAGCUGUGUCCCUUCUUGCCAAGAACUUCGGGGGCAAUGUAGUUGGGAGUUCCACACAAUGUCCUAGAAGUGUACAAAACACAGUUAUGUACCAGGAAGUUUGCCAGGGAGAAACAUUUAAGGUCAUAUAAUCGUGGUGCACAUA